GGCCGUGUGGUGUAGUGGUAGCAUACUUGCUUUGGGAAUAAACUCCCACAGCUGUUGCAAGUGGUCCCAGGUUCGAGCCCUGGCUCGGCCC
rfam:Podospora anserina genomic DNA, chromosome 7.